rnacentral:rRNA from 1 species
UUUAGUACCGCUGAACUUAAGCAUUUCAAUAAGCGGGAGGAAAAGAAACCAACAGGGAUUACCUCAGUAACGGCGAGUGAAGCGGUAACAGCUCAAAUUUGAAAGCUAGCCCGCCCCGGGUUCGCGUUGUAAUUUGCAGAAGAUGCUUCGGGCGCGGCCCCGGUCUAAGUUCCUUGGAACAGGACGUCACAGAGGGUGAGAAUCCCGUACGUGACCGGGCGCCCGCGCCCGUGUGAAGCUCUUUCGACGAGUCGAGUUGUUUGGGAAUGCAGCUCAAAAUGGGUGGUAUAUUUCAUCUAAAGCUAAAUAUGGGCCAGAGACCGAUAGCGCACAAGUAGAGUGAUCGAAAGAUGAAAAGCACUUUGGAAAGAGAGUUAAACAGUACGUGAAAUUGUUGAAAGGGAAGCGCUUGCAACCAGACUUGCGCACGGGCGAUCACCCGGGCUUCUGCCCGGGGCACUCGUCCGCGCGCAGGCCAGCAUCGGUUCUGGUGGUGGGACAAAGGCCGGGGGAACGUAGCUCCCCUCGGGGAGUGUUAUAGCCCCCGGCGCAAUGCCGCCCACCGGGACCGAGGACCGCGCUCCGGCUAGGAUGCUGGCGUAAUGGUUGUAAGCGACCCGUCUUGAAACACGGACCAAGGAGUCUAACAUCUGUGCGAGUGUUUGGGUGCCAAACCCCUACGCGUAAUGAAAGUGAACGGAGGUGAGAACCCUGAAGGGCGCAUCAUCGACCGAUCCUGAUGUCUUCGGAUGGAUUUGAGUACGAGCACAGCUGUUGGGACCCGAAAGAUGGUGAACUAUGCGUGAAUAGGGUGAAGCCAGAGGAAACUCUGGUGGAGGCUCGCAGCGGUUCUGACGUGCAAAUCGAUCGUCAAAUUUGCGUAUAGGGGCGAAAGACUAAUCGAACCAUCUAGUAGCUGGUCCUGCUGUU